AGAUUGAACGCUGGCGGCAGGCCUAACACAUGCAAGUCGAGCGGAUGAGUGGAGCUUGCUCCAUGAUUCAGCGGCGGACGGGUGAGUAAUGCCUAGGAAUCUGCCUGGUAGUGGGGGACAACGUUUCGAAAGGAACGCUAAUACCGCAUACGUCCUACGGGAGAAAGUGGGGGAUCUUCGGACCUCACGCUAUCAGAUGAGCCUAGGUCGGAUUAGCUAGUUGGCGAGGUAAAGGCUCACCAAGGCGACGAUCCGUAACUGGUCUGAGAGGAUGAUCAGUCACACUGGAACUGAGACACGGUCCAGACUCCUACGGGAGGCAGCAGUGGGGAAUAUUGGACAAUGGGCGAAAGCCUGAUCCAGCCAUACCGCGUGUGUGAAGAAGGUCUUCGGAUUGUAAAGCACUUUAAGUUGGGAGGAAGGGCAGUAAGUUAAUACCUUGCUGUUUUGACGUUACCGACAGAAUAAGCACCGGCUAACUUCGUGCCAGCAGCCGCGGUAAUA
rnacentral:rRNA from 1 species